rnacentral:tRNA from 1 species
AUUUAAAUAGCUUAUAUAGAGCGUAACAUUGAAGAUGUUAAAGAAAUAAUUUUUAUUUUUAAAUA